rnacentral:rRNA from 1 species
UGGGGAAUAUUGGACAAUGGGCGAAAGCCUGAUCCAGCAAUGCCGCGUGAGUGAUGAAGGCCUUCGGGUUGUAAAGCUCUGUCGGGGGGACGAAAAAACAGCUUAACAAACUGUAUUGACGGUACCCCCAAAGGAAGCACCGGCUAACUCUGUGCCAGCAGCCGCGGUAAUACAGAGGGUGCAAGCGUUGUUCGGAAUUACUGGGCGUAAAGCGCGUGUAGGUGGCGAUGUAAGUCGGGUGUGAAAUCCCUUGGCUUAACCAAGGAAGUGCAUUCGAUACUGUGUCGCUUGAGUACUGGAGGGGAUGGUGGAAUUCCCUGUGUAGAGGUGAAAUUCGUAGAUAUCGGGAGGAACACCUGUGGCGAAGGCGACCAUCUGGACAGUCACUGACACUGAGACGCGAAAGCGUGGGUAGCAAACAGGAUUAGAUACCCAUGUAGUCCCUGAGCGGGCUGGCAAGGCGCAU